rnacentral:tRNA from 1 species
GCGUCCGUGGCUUAAGUGGAUAGAGCAUUGCCCUCCGAAGGCAAAGAUUUCAGGUUCAAAUCCUGUCGGACGCA